rnacentral:rRNA from 1 species
GUGGGGAAUAUUGCGCAAUGGGCGAAAGCCUGACGCAGCAACGCCGCGUGGGUGAUGACGGUCUUCGGAUUGUAAAACCCUGUCUUCAGGGACGAUAAUGACGGUACCUGAGGAGGAAGCCACGGCUAACUACGUGCCAGCAGCCGCGGUAAUACGUAGGUGGCAAGCGUUGUCCGGAUUUACUGGGCGUAAAGGGUGCGUAGGCGGACAAUUAAGUCAGAUGUGAAAUCCCAGGGCUCAACCUUGGGGCUGCAUUUGAUACUGGUUGUCUAGAGUGCAGGAGAGGAGAGCGGAAUUCCUAGUGUAGCGGUGAAAUGCGUAGAUAUUAGGAAGAACACCAGUGGCGAAGGCGGCUCUCUGGACUGUAACUGACGCUGAGGCACGAAAGCGUGGGGAGCGAACAGGAUUAGAAACCCGGGUAGUCC